UACGUAGGGUGCAAGCGUUUGUCCGGAAUUAUUGGGCGUAAAGAGCUCGUAGGCGGUUUGUCGCGUCUGCUGUGAAAACGCGAGGCUCAACCUCGCGCCUGCAGUGGGUACGGGCAGACUAGAGUGUGGUAGGGGAGAUUGGAAUUCCUGGUGUAGCGGUGGAAUGCGCAGAUAUCAGGAGGAACACCGGAUGGCGAAGGCAGAUCUCUGGGCCAUUACUGACGCUGAGGAGCGAAAGCGUGGGGAGCGAACAGG
rnacentral:rRNA from 1 species